GACCAUAAUAUGUCCCUUCUCCUUAUUUUCUCCCUCUCUCUGCCUUGUCCCUUUCCUCCUCCAAUUCCCUUCAUUGUAGGUAUUUGCUAUCAUUCCAGCCAUUUCCUGUAAGUGAAUGACACCCAAAUCCAUAGCUUGGUGCCCUCUAGGCUUAACCUCAAAAUCAUAUCUGACUCAAAAUCUUCUCCCACUUCUACCUCCACUGCUAUCAAACCAGCUGCUGUUAUCUCAAUUUUACCUCUUAAAUAUUUUUUCCAUCUACCUUCUCCUUCCUAGUCUCAUAGCUAUUAUACUAUAUAGCAUGGUGAUGAAGAGCAUGGCCAUUGGCCUCAGUCAGACUUGGGUUUGAAAUCUGUAUCUGCCACUCACUUGGAUAAGUUUAUUCUCUCAUUCAGUAAAUAUUUAUUGAGCGUCAACUUUGUGACAGGUGCUGUUCUAGUCCCUGGGGAUUCUGCAAUGAACAAGACUAAGUCCUGCUUUCCUGAAGCUUACAUUCCAGUGUGGGAGACAGAUGAUAAAUACAUGAACAAAGCAAUAAAUAAGAUAAUUUCAGAUUGUACCCUGAAGAAAACAAACCAGACUAAUGGGAAAUAGGGGUCAUAGGAGGAAGAAAUCUUAGAGUCAUAAUGGAAGUGUGGUUAGAAAAGAGAAGAGGGUCUUAGACUGAGCUCUGGGGCAUGCCAAGAUUUGGAGAUUUGCAAAAAAGAAUGUGUUUAUGGUCCUUACUAAAUGCCAGGCACUGUUCUAAGUGCAUUCCAUACAGUAAUCCAUUCAGUACUUGCCAGAACCUUAGAGAAUAUCAUUUUCAUCUUACUAUCAUUUUGCUAAAGAACAAGCUGAAGCACAGAAGGUCAAUUAACAAACCCAACUAGUAUCCAUGAGGAUGUGGGUUCGAUCCUUGGCCUCGCUCAGUGGGUCGGGGAUCCAGCGUUGCUGUGAACUGUGGUGUAGAUUGCAGAUGAAGCUCAGAUCCUGUGUUGCUGUGGCUGUGGUGUAGGCCGGCAGCCGUAGCUCUGAUUUGACUCCUAGCCGGGGAACUUCCAUGUGCCAUAAGGGCAGCCCUAAAAGGCAAAAAAAAAAAAAAAGGGGGGGGGGUUUAAAAAGUGACCUGAAACAUAGCAGCUACAAUCUGUGUUUUUGUAGUUUGCUUAGGUUACUAAUCAAAGAUGCUUUCUUCCACCACCCAUUCCAUAUGGCCUUUACCCUCUGCCAGCAUCCAGGCCUGAUAGGGUUCUUGAAUUCAUGGGAAAGACAGGUUGUGUCUAUAGCAUAUGUUCUUUCUGAUAUUAUCAUAUAAUUGGGCUACUUCGGUUUCCAUUUGUACAAUAUAAUUGAGCAAAGGAGUAUAAUAAAAAUUCAGCCAAUCACCUGGGUUCUAAAAAUAGUCCUCCUUUCUCCCAUUGUGUGUCAAUCUCAACUGUCUGUGUCUCAUCACAUUCAGUCCUAAAUCCUGAGAGAGUUCACCUCUUUCAAUUUAUUUGCUUUAGUCGAACUUACAUUUCCUUCCCUUUGGUCUGAUAAAUUUAGAAAGUAGUAAAUAUGCAAGUAAGCCAAAAUAAACAUUAAAUGUAUAAAACAAUAAUAAUGUCUAAUUUGUGGGGUAAAAAUAUACAACCAAAAGGCUGGUCAAGGAGUUCCCAUUGUGGCUCAGAAGUAACAAACCUGACUAGUAUCCAUGAGGACACACAUUCAAUCCACUCAGUGGGUUAAGUGGCGUUGCCAUGAGCUGUGGUGUAGGUUGCAGACAAGGCUUGGAUCUGGUGUUGAUGUAGCUGCGGUGUAGGCCAGCAACUAUGGCUCCGAUUCACCCCUUAACCUGGGAACCUCCAUAGGCCACAGGUGCAGCCCUAAAGACAAAAAAGAAAAUUCGAGUCAAUAAGUAUUUCUAUAAGUCAGAAUAGGGCAAUCUGAGUUAAAGUGUUUUAUGGUCCUUGCAUCAUUUGGGAGAAUGGCAAAUACAUUGAUUUACUAAACUUCAUUAUAUAUGCUUAACAUUUCUAGGUAACCACUGAAAGAACAAAAGCAUAGCAUUUAACUUCCAAAUAGAAAAUACAAAGUAGUUGAGAUAAACAGACACAUACUUUUUAAUAUCAAAUGGAAGCAAGAAAUAAGGUAGAGGAAGAGAAACGAGAGGAGCAGGACAAUGAGAAAUAACAAACUAAGACGUUAGCAUAUAUAAUUAAGAGUUCUCACUGUGGUGCAGCAGGUUAAAGACCCAGCACUGUCUCUGCAGUGGCUUGGGUCGCUGCUGAGGAUGCAGGUUCAAUCCCCAGCCCGGUGCAGUGGGUUAAGGAUCUGGUGUGGCCAUAGUUGUGGCAUAGUUCUCAGCUGCAGCUCGGAUGUGAUUCCUGACCCAGGAAUGUCCAUAUGCCUUGGGGUUGGCUAAAAAAGAAAACAAAAAUUAACUAUAAUCAUAAAAGUCACUAUAGUGGUUACCUUUGGGAAGUACUGACUGAAAGAGGACAGAAAGAAGCCUUCUGGGUCUCUGAAAAUAUUCUCUGUUUUGAUGUAUUUGGUGGUUAGUCAUAUGUGUGUAUACUUUCAUAAAAUACAUGAAGCAGUACACUUAAGCUUUAUGAACAUGACUGAAGGUAAAUUAUACAUCUCCUUUUUCUUGCUAUUUACUUUGAUCUCUCUCUUUCAUAUGAGAUACUUCGCUCAUAUUUGUCUGCAUUUAUUUAUUUAUUUAUUUAUUUUAGGGUUGCACCUGUGGUAUACGGAUUUCCUGGGCUAGGGGUUGAAUUGGAGCUUCAGCUGCCAGCCACAGCCACAGCCACAGCCACAGCAACUCGGGAUCUGAGGCACAUCUGCCACCCACGCUGCGGCCUGCAGCAAUGCCAGAUCCUUAACCCACUGAGCGGUUCCAGGGAUCAAACCUGCAUCUUCAUGGAUACUAGUCAGGUUCCUAAUUUGCUGAUCCACAAUGGGAACUCCAAAUUACGCAUCAUUUUAAAAAUACAGAUUAUCAACCAAAAAACCCAGAUAUAUGCAAUUUUCUUUUCUUUUCUUUUUAAGGCUGCGCAUGCUGAAUAUGGAAGUUCCCAGGCUAGGUCACAGGUUGAAUUGGAGCUGCAGCUGCUGGCCUACACCACACCCUACACCACAGCCACAGCAACACUAGUUCUGAGCCACAUCUAUAACCUAUGCUGCAGCUUGCGGCAACGCUUCAUCCUUAACCCACUGAGCAAGGCCAGGGAUCAAACUCAUAUCCUCAUGGACACUACGUCAGGUUUUUAACCCGCUAAACCACAACAGAAACUCUAGCUAUGUGUAAUUUACAAAAGACACACCUAAAGGUUGAAACUAAAAUGAUGAGAAAAAGUUUUGUCAGGCAAAGACUAACAAAAAUUUUUGUAGAUCUAUGUUAAUAUCAGGAAAACAUACACUUAAAGGUAAAGAAAAUAGAGAAAAAUUGAGUGACUACAUUAAGCCCCUAGCAACAUUCUCUUUACCUUUUUUUUUGGCAGGGGAGAACUUUUUAUUUAUUUUUACCGAAUUCACGGGAGCCAAAAAAAAGGUUGGAACUAGACAGGAGGAAGAAGUUAAGAAAAAAAUAGACAUGUAGUAGGAAGGAGGCUUCUUAAAUAGAGCCGAGUAAGGUAAGAAAAUGUAGGAGUUCCCAUUGUGGCUCAGUGGAGGCAAAUCUGACUAGUAUCCAUGAGGAUUUGGGUUCGGUCCCUGGCCUCACUCACUGGGUUAAGGAUCCAGCAUUGCCAUGAGCUGUGGUGUAGGUCACAGACGCACCUCGGAUUUCACAUUGCUGUUGCUGUGGCUGCAGUGUAGGUCAGCAGCUGCAGCUCUGAUUUGGCCUCUAGCCUGGGAACUUCCAUAUGCUGCAGGUGCAGCCCU
rnacentral:lncRNA from 1 species